AUUUCAGGUUCACAUUUAUGUCAGAUGUAGCAAUUUAUAUGUUUUUGUAAAUUCACCAAUUCAAAGUAUGGAAGAAGAGAGAUACUUAAUGAUGCAUAGAUACAUUUGUGACAGAUUUGUGACCGAUAAGUGGCACCGGAAAGGAGUCGAAAUGAACGAUUGAUAUCAUACCAAUACUCACCAAGAGUAAUCUACUGAAAGCCCUGCAGGACCACGAGUAUAAAUUCCAGUACAUCAGAUUGCCUCAAGCUGUAACAGACAUAGAGAGGAGCUGUAACAUUUAGAAUCUAACCUAAAUGCUUGCAAUUUAAACAGGAUAACGCCACAGUGAUAAGGCGUUUACGACAACUUUUCCGCGCAUCGUCAAAAUAUCAUACUUCUGACCGAGACACCAUAACUUUCCGUCAUACAACAUGGAUGUCAA